rnacentral:rRNA from 1 species
AGAGUUUGAUCCUGGCUCAGGAUGAACGCUGGCGGCGUGCUUAACACAUGCAAGUCGAACGAUCCUUCGGGAUAGUGGCGGACGGGUGAGUAACGCGUGGGAAUCUGCCCUCAGGAGGGGGAUAACGGCUGGAAACGGCCGCUAAUACCCCAUAUGCCGAGAGGUGAAACGAAUUUCGCCUGAGGAUGAGCCCGCGUCUGAUUAGCUAGUUGGUGGGGUAAAGGCCCACCAAGGCGACGAUCAGUAGCUGGUCUGAGAGGAUGAUCAGCCACACUGGGACUGAGACACGGCCCAGACUCCUACGGGAGGCAGCAGUGGGGAAUUUUCCGCAAUGGGCGAAAGCCUGACGGAGCAACGCCGCGUGAGGGAUGAAGGCCUCUGGGCUGUAAACCUCUUUUCUCAAGGAAGAAGACCUGACGGUACUUGAGGAAUAAGCCACGGCUAAUUCCGUGCCAGCAGCCGCGGUAAUACGGGAGUGGCAAGCGUUAUCCGGAAUUAUUGGGCGUAAAGCGUCCGCAGGCGGCCUUGUAAGUCUGUUGUUAAAGCGUGGAGCUUAACUCCAUUUAAGCAAUGGAAACUACAAGGCUGGAGUGUGGUAGGGGCAGAGGGAAUUCCCGGUGUAGCGGUGAAAUGCGUAGAUAUCGGGAAGAACACCAGUGGCGAAGGCGCUCUGCUGGGCCAUAACUGACGCUCAUGGACGAAAGCCAGGGGAGCGAAAGGGAUUAGAUACCCCUGUAGUCCUGGCCGUAAACGAUGAACACUAGGUGUCGGGGGAAUCGACCCCCUCGGUGUCGUAGCCAACGCGUUAAGUGUUCCGCCUGGGGAGUACGCACGCAAGUGUGAAACUCAAAGGAAUUGACGGGGGCCCGCACAAGCGGUGGAGUAUGUGGUUUAAUUCGAUGCAACGCGAAGAACCUUACCAGGGUUUGACAUCCUGCGAACCCCUGAGAAAUCGGGGGGUGCCUUCGGGAGCGCAGAGACAGGUGGUGCAUGGCUGUCGUCAGCUCGUGUCGUGAGAUGUUGGGUUAAGUCCCGCAACGAGCGCAACCCACGUCUUUAGUUGCCAGCAUUCAGUUGGGCACUCUAGAGAGACCGCCGGUGAUAAACCGGAGGAAGGUGUGGAUGACGUCAAGUCAUCAUGCCCCUUACAUCCUGGGCUACACACGUACUACAAUGCUACGGACAAAGGGCAGCAAGCUCGCGAGAGUUAGCAAAUCCCAUAAACCGUGGCUCAGUUCAGAUCGUAGGCUGCAACUCGCCUACGUGAAGGAGGAAUCGCUAGUAAUCGCAGGUCAGCAUACUGCGGUGAAUACGUUCCCGGGCCUUGUACACACCGCCCGUCACACCAUGGAA